rnacentral:rRNA from 1 species
AGAGUUUGAUCAUGGCUCAGAAUCAACGCUGGCGGCGUGCCUCAGACAUGCAAGUCGAACGAUUAAAGCUCUCUUCGGAGAGUGUAUAGAGUGGCGCACGGGUGAGUAACACGUAAGUAAUCUACCUUCGAGUGGGGAAUAACGUCCGGAAACGGACGCUAAUACCGCAUAAUGCAGCGGCAUCUUAUGAUGACAGUUGUUAAAGGAGCAAUUCGCUUGAAGAGGAGCUUGCGGCAGAUUAGCUAGUUGGUAAGGUAAUGGCUUACCAAGGCUACGAUCUGUAACCGGUCUAAGAGGACGGUCGGUCACACUGACACUGAAUAACGGGUCAGACUCCUACGGGAGGCAGCAGUCGGGAAUUUUGGGCAAUGGGCGAAAGCCUGACCCAGCAACGCCGCGUGAAGGAUGAAGUAUUUCGGUAUGUAAACUUCGAAAGAAUGGGAAGAAUCAAUGACGGUACCAUUUAUAAGGUCCGGCUAACUACGUGCCAGCAGCCGCGGUAAUACGUAGGGACCAAGCGUUGUUCGGAUUUACUGGGCGUAAAGGGCGCGUAGGCGGCUUAACAAGUCACUUGUGAAAUCUCCGGGCUUAACUCGGAACGGCCAAGUGAAACUGUCAAGCUAGAGUGCAGAAGGGGCAAUCGGAAUUCUUGGUGUAGCGGUGAAAUGCAGAUAUCAAGAGGAACACCUGAGGUGAAGACGGGUUGCUGGGCUGACACUGACGCUGAGGCGCGAAAGCCAGGGGAGCAAACGGGAUUAGAUACCCUAGUAGUCC